GCCGUCGUAGGCCACGGGGGCCAGUUCCGAAACUUGAGCAAAGGAAAUACUGGACAGGAACAGACGCAGGUUCGAUUCCUCCCGGCGGCA